rnacentral:rRNA from 1 species
GCGCGAUACAGGGUGACAGCCCCGUACACAAAAGCGCAUGUGCUGUGAGCUCGAUGAGUAGGGCGGGACACGUGGUAUCCUGUCUGAAUAUGGGGGGACCAUCCUCCAAGGCUAAAUACUCCUGACUGACCGAUAGUGAACCAGUACCGUGAGGGAAAGGCGAAAAGAACCCCGGCGAGGGGAGUGAAAAAGAACCUGAAACCGUGUACGUACAAGCAGUGGGAGCACAGGUUUACCUGUGUGACUGCGUACCUUUUGUAUAAUGGGUCAGCGACUUAUAUUCUGUAGCAAGGUUAACCGUAUAGGGGAGCCGUAGGGAAACCGAGUCUUAAC